rnacentral:lncRNA from 1 species
AUUUUAUCUUUUCAUUUGAAUUCUAGGUAUGAAAAAGAAUGAAUAUUUCUUUGCACCAUUUAAUCACAUUUAAAGGAUAAAAGAUAAUAAGCUGUUUAAAAACAAACAGAAAAAUAUUAACUACGUCUAUACGUUUAAAUCUGUUUAAGAUUUGAUUGUACAUUUUGGCCUUAACCUAAGCUUUGAAGAUGCAUAAGCGGAUGUGUCGGAUUAUCUUGUGAAACAAUUAUCAUGCAUUUAUACAAUAUGUGGAGUAGAGAUAUAGUUAUGUCCCAUCCUGUGAAGUAAAUGAGCAGGUCUGUGUAUUCUGCAGCAAUAUUUAAACCCUGAUGUUUCAUAAAAUUUAGAAAUAGUUUAUAAAUUGUCCUAUUCGUUAAUAGGUAUAACAGAUAUGAGAUGCAAUUAUUCUCCCAUUCUAGAAAUUUGAUCGGUAUUGAAUUCACCUUCUCCUUUCGUCCAACAAUUAUUUCUCAGGUCUUAUAUAACAGAAUGACUAGUUUUGUUAGCAGCUUGACAGUGAUAAGUUAUGACUUUUGAGAUAUCAGUUAUAUGCUUCCAGUUUGCCAAUACUUCUAAUUGGAGGUUUACUUAGUACAACGCGAGAAACCAUGUUGGGAAACACAUUUACAAUUAUUACAUUUGCCAAGUGUCUAACCAUUUAACAUUCAUUACUCUAACUGACAAAUGGAGCUUCAUUUGAAUUGAUUGUUUGUUUUAAAACAACAAUGAAAAAACUAAACACACAUUCUCAUGUACAAUAAUUAUCAAGUAUCAUAUAUAUACUUGUAUAAUUGUAUUUUGUUCUGACCAUGUAUUUGCAAAUUUGAAUAAGCCAAUCAUUAUUUGGCAUUACUAGUGUGAAAGCAAUAAUAUAAAUAUGUUUGUCUUCCAAUGAUCAAUCAUUAUUGGAGCAAUUACUACUUUAAUUUCACUGGUUCUAUUAGACAUUUUUAUCUGAUCUAGCAUAGGUACAUAUUAAGGUGCAAUCCAAUUCAAUGUCUAUUUAAUUGUCCAUCCUAAAUUAAUUAAUCUUUAAACAAUAUAAGUUAACUCAAUUGCACGGUGAAAGAAAUAUUACUACUGUAUCAUUUUACAAGUUGAAAUAUAUUUUGGACAAACAGAUAAAUGUCUUUCCAAUCAUCUUUUGCAAAACAUCUUUUUUGGUGGCAAAUUGUAAUUCCUUAAAUGAUUGAGGAGGAACUAUUUCAUGAUGAUUAGUUCUGCACAAAAUCUAUCUCAGUGUUCAUUUAUUUAACUUUAAGCAUCAUUGUUAUAUCAUAUCAAAACAAUUACAUAAUCUGGACAUAAUUAUUUUCAAAGUAUAUUUUUAUGGAAUAUUCAGAUUUGUCUCAACAUCA